rnacentral:rRNA from 1 species
ACGCACGCUGGCGGCGUGCUUCACACAUGCCAGUCGAACGGAAAGGCCCUGCUUUUGUGGGGUGCUCGAGUGGCGAACGGGUGAGUAACACGUGAGUAACCUGCCCUUGACUUUGGGAUAACUUCAGGAAACUGGGGCUAAUACCGGAUAGGAGCUCCUGCUGCAUGGUGGGGGUUGGAAAGUUUCGGCGGUUGGGGAUGGACUCGCGGCUUAUCAGCUUGUUGGUGGGGUAGUGGCUUACCAAGGCUUUGACGGGUAGCCGGCCUGAGAGGGUGACCGGCCACAUUGGGACUGAGAUACGGCCCAGACUCCUACGGGAGGCAGCAGUGGGGAAUAUUGCACAAUGGGCGGAAGCCUGAUGCAGCAACGCCGCGUGCGGGAUGACGGCCUUCGGGUUGUAAACCGCUUUCGCCUGUGACGAAGCGUGAGUGACAGUAAUGGGUAAAGAAGCACCGGCUAACUACGUG